rnacentral:rRNA from 1 species
UGAAGAGCGGGGGGGCAUUCAAACACAUGCAGUCGACGGUGAACACGAGAGCUUGCUCUGUGGGAUCAGUGGCGAACGGGUGAGUAACACGUGAGCAACCUGCCCCUGACUCUGGGAUAAGCGCUGGAAACGGCGUCUAAUACUGGAUAUGUGACGUGACCGCAUGGUCUGCGUUUGGAAAGAUUUUUCGGUUGGGGAUGGGCUCGCGGCCUAUCAGCUUGUUGGUGAGGUAAUGGCUCACCAAGGNGUCGACGGGUAGCCGGCCUGAGAGGGUGACCGGCCACACUGGGACUGAGACACGGCCCAGACUCCUACGGGAGGCAGCAGUGGGGAAUAUUGCACAAUGGGCGGAAGCCUGAUGCAGCAACGCCGCGUGAGGGAUGACGGCCUUCGGGUUGUAAACCUCUUUUAGCAGGGAAGAAGCGAAAGUGACGGUACCUGCAGAAAAAGCGCCGGCUAACUACGUGCCAGCAGCCGCGGUAAUACGUAGGGCGCAAGCGUUAUCCGGAAUUAUUGGGCGUAAAGAGCUCGUAGGCGGUUUGUCGCGUCUGCUGUGAAAUCCCGAGGCUCAACCUCGGGCCUGCAGUGGGUACGGGCAGACUAGAGUGCGGUAGGGGAGAUUGGAAUUCCUGGUGUAGCGGUGGAAUGCGCAGAUAUCAGGAGGAACACCGAUGGCGAAGGCAGAUCUCUGGGCCGUAACUGACGCUGAGGAGCGAAAGGGUGGGGAGCAAACAGGCUUAGAUACCCUGGUAGUCCACCCCGUAAACGUUGGGAACUAGUUGUGGGGUCCAUUCCACGGAUUCCGUGACGCAGCUAACGCAUUAAGUUCCCCGCCUGGGGAGUACGGCCGCAAGGCUAAAACUCAAAGGAAUUGACGGGGACCCGCACAAGCGGCGGAGCAUGCGGAUUAAUUCGAUGCAACGCGAAGAACCUUACCAAGGCUUGACAUAUACGAGAACGGGCCAGAAAUGGUCAACUCUUUGGACACUCGUAAACAGGUGGUGCAUGGUUGUCGUCAGCUCGUGUCNUGAGAUGUUGGGUUAAGUCCCGCAACGAGCGCAACCCUCGUUCUAUGUUGCCAGCACGUAAUGGUGGGAACUCAUGGGAUACUGCCGGGGUCAACUCGGAGGAAGGUGGGGAUGACGUCAAAUCAUCAUGCCCCUUAUGUCUUGGGCUUCACGCAUGCUACAAUGGCCGGUACAAAGGGCUGCAAUACCGUGAGGUGGAGCGAAUCCCAAAAAGCCGGUCCCAGUUCGGAUUGAGGUCUGCAACUCGACCUCAUGAAGUCGGAGUCGCUAGUAAUCGCAGAUCAGCAACGCUGCGGUGAAUACGUUCCCGGGUCUUGUACACACCGCCCGUCAAGUCAUGAAAGUCGGUAACACCUGAAGCCGGUGAGCCUAACCCUUGUGGAGGGAGCUUUCGUUAUUUUGUUAUCAAAAGCUA